GACAGAGGGUGCAAACGUUGUUCGGAAUUACUGGGCGUAAAGCGAGUGUAGGCGGUCCGAUAAGUCGGGUGUGAAAGCCCUGGGCUCAACCCAGGAAGUGCACUCGAAACUGACGGGCUAGAGUAUCGGAGAGGUUGGUGGAAUUCUCGGUGUAGAGGUGAAAUUCGUAGAUAUCGAGAGGAACACCGGUGGCGAAGGCGGCCAACUGGACGAAUACUGACGCUGAGACUCGAAAGCGUGGGGAGCAAACAGG
rnacentral:rRNA from 1 species